rfam:Parcubacteria bacterium GW2011_GWA2_38_13 TS74_C0034, whole genome shotgun sequence.
UGCCCGGUCGUCUAAUGGUAGGACAUCAGACUCUGAAUCUGAUUAUCCUCGUUCGAGUCGAGGCUGGGCAA